rnacentral:rRNA from 1 species
GAUGAACGCUGGCGGCGUGCCUAAUACAUGCAAGUCGAGCGAACAGACGAGGAGCUUGCUCCUCUGACGUUAGCGGCGGACGGGUGAGUAACACGUGGAUAACCUACCUAUAAGACUGGGAUAACUUCGGGAAACCGGAGCUAAUACCGGAUAAUAUAUUGAACCGCAUGGUUCAAUAGUGAAAGACGGUUUUGCUGUCACUUAUAGAGGGAUCCGCGCCGCAUUAGCUAGUUGGUAAGGUAACGGGUUUUCAAGGCAACGAUGCGUAAGAGACAUGAUAGGGUGGUCGGCCACACUGGAACGGAGACACGGUCCAGAGUGAUACGGAAGGCACCCGUAGGGAAUCUUCCGCAAGAGGCGAAAGCUUGACGGAGCAACGCGGCGUGAGUGAUGAAGGUCGUCGGAUCGUAAAACUCGGUUAUUAGGGAAGAACAAAUGUGUAAGUGACUAUGAACGUCUUGACGGUACCUAAGUAGAAAGCCACGGCUAACUACGUGC